rnacentral:rRNA from 1 species
CACGUAGGGGCCAAGCGUUGUCCGGAUUUAUUGGGCGUAAAGAGCUCGUAGGCGGUUCGACAAGUCGGGUGUGAAAACUCCGGGCUCAACCCGGAGACGCCACCCGAUACUGUCGUGACUGGAGUCCGGUAGGGGAGUGGGGAAUUCCUGGUGUAGCGGUGAAAUGCGCAGAUAUCAGGAGGAACACCCGUAGCGAAGGCGGCACUCUGGGCCGAUACUGACGCUGAGGAGCGAAAGCGUGGGGAGCGAACAGG